AGGGAGUUUGAUCCUGGCUCAGGAUGAACGCUAGCUACAGGCUUAACACAUGCAAGUCGAGGGGUAACGACAGCGAAAGCUUGCUUUUGCUGGGCGACGACCGGCGCACGGGUGAGUAACGCGUAUCCAACCUGCCCAUAACUAAGGGAUAAUCCGUAGAAAUGCGGUCUAAUACCUUAUGUGUUCCGACGAAGACAUCUGAAUUGGAAUAAAGAUUUAUCGGUUAUGGAUGGGGAUGCGUCUGAUUAGAUUGUUGGCGGGGCAACGGCCCACCAAGUCUGCGAUCAGUAGGGGUUCUGAGAGGAAGGUCCCCCACAUUGGAACUGAGACACGGUCCAAACUCCUACGGGAGGCAGCAGUGAGGAAUAUUGGUCAAUGGGCGAGAGCCUGAACCAGCCAAGUAGCGUGCAGGACGACGGCCCUAUGGGUUGUAAACUGCUUUUGUAUGGGAAUAAAGUGCUCCACGUGUGGAGUUUUGUAGGUACCAUACGAAUAAGGACCGGCUAAUUCCGUGCCAGCAGCCGCGGUAAUACGGAAGGUCCGGGCGUUAUCCGGAUUUAUUGGGUUUAAAGGGAGCGUAGGCCGUGGAUUAAGUGUGUUGUGAAAUGUAGGCGCUCAACGUCUGACUUGCAGCGCAUUCUGGUCCACUUGAGUGCGCACAACGCGGGCGGAAUUUGUCGUGUAGCGUUGAAAUGCUUAGAUAUGACGAAGAACCCCGAUUGCGAAGGCAGCUCGCGGGAGCGCAACUGACGCUGAAGCUUGAAAGUGCGGGUAUCGAACAGGAUUAGAUACCCUGGUAGUCCCCU
rnacentral:rRNA from 1 species